rnacentral:rRNA from 1 species
GACGAACGCUGGCGGCGUGCCUAAUACAUGCCAGUAGAACGCACAGUUUAUACCGUAGCUUGCUACACCAUAGACUGUGAGUUGCGAACGGGUGAGUAACGCGUAGGUAACCUGCCUGGUAGCGGGGGAUAACUAUUGGAAACGAUAGCUAAUACCGCAUAAUAUUGAUUAUUGCAUGAUAAUUGAUUGAAAGAUGCUAUUGCAUCACUACCAGAUGGACCUGCGUUGUAUUAGCUAGUAGGUGAGGUAACGGCUCACCUAGGCGACGAUACAUAGCCGACCUGAGAGGGUGAUCGGCCACACUGGGACUGAGACACGGCCCAGACUCCUACGGGAGGCAGCAGUAGGGAAUCUUCGGCAAUGGACGAAAGUCUGACCGAGCAACGCCGCGUGAGUGAAGAAGGUUUUCGGAUCGUAAAGCUCUGUUGUAAGAGAAGAACGGGUGUGAGAGUGGAAAGUUCACACUGUGACGGUAGCUUACCAGAAAGGGACGGCUAACUACGUG